GUGAGUGAGUGUGAAAGGGAGAAAGGGAUGUAAGAAAGAUUGGGUAAUUUGGCUUUGGAAGGCUUUGCUAAAAGCCUCUCAGAAGGCAUUUGUCGUUGUUGAUACAUCUAGCUGAAGUUUAUUACACCUGAUGAGCUGAUCCUCACACAGACUGCAGAAGUGAGGCUUGGGCAUGACGUCUCCCCAAAGAAACAAGCAAAAUCAUGGACACACACAAACACACCACAGAAGAACAGGAAGCAAUGCUCUAUAACUUGCCACUGAGCUGCUCUUCUGAUGCCCUAGCUCCAUAAUCCAGGAGAAAAAAACAACAGAAAUCUGGGAUUAAGUUUCUUUGGCCUAGUGGAAGAGAGAUGUAUUGCACAAAUCUCUCUCUUUUUCUUUUCUCCCUGCUCUGUCUCUCUUACACAAAAGCUGCUUUGGUGCUUACCAGGAUCAAAUCAUGCGAAGACUUUUUGCAUUCUAUAUCUGGAGCUUAGUGAGGGCAGAACAUCUCUACAGUCACAUGAAGGAAGCUUUUAGUGAGCGAGUGUGUGUGGGGGGUGA